UGGAAUGCCAUUAUUUAAACACAAUUUCCCUAGUCAUUUUAAAUAUCCUAUUACAAAUUGUUUCUUGUCAACCUUUCAAAACAGAAUGGCAAAACAAAUCUAUCCUCUCCUUUUUACCUUUUUAAUUAUGUGUCUAGCUUUAGUCACGGUAUCAGUAGGUGCAGAUGUGAAAAUUCCACCAGGCUGCUUUCUUUAUAAUCAUUGUGCAGAUACAGAUGAAUUUUGUAACCAUUUAUGUCAAAUAACAUUGGGCAAUCCUAAAGGUGGUUAUUGCAUAAAAAACAUCAGCGUAUGUUGUUGCAACAAGUAAAAGUCAGAGAUUUUCGUGUUAUAAUUGUACUUUCUUUAUAUAUUUGAUAAAAUAUAUCACCAAAGGGAGUCUUUAAGAUUUUAAUAAAUUAAUUCGAAAAGUCAUAUUAUGUA